UACGUAGGGUCCGAGCGUUGUCCGGAAUUACUGGGCGUAAAGAGCUCGUAGGUGGUUUGUCGCGUUGUUCGUGAAAACUCACAGCUUAACUGUGGGCGUGCGGGCGAUACGGGCAGACUUGAGUACUGCAGGGGAGACUGGAAUUCCUGGUGUAGCGGUGGAAUGCGCAGAUAUCAGGAGGAACACCGGUGGCGAAGGCGGGUCUCUGGGCAGUAACUGACGCUGAGGCACGAAAGUGCGGGGAUCAAACAGG
rnacentral:rRNA from 1 species